ACUCAAAUGAAUAGACGGGGGCUCACACAAGCGGUGGAGCAUGUGGUUCAAUUCGAAGCAACGCGCAGAACCUUACCUGGGCUUGACAUGCUAGGAUUAUCCCUAUGAAAGUAGGGUAGGCCCUUCGGGGUACAACUAGUACAGGUGCUGCAUGGCUGUCGUCAGCUCGUGUCGUGAGAUGUCGGGUUAAGUCCCUUAACGAGCGAAACCUUUGCCCUUAGUUACCAUCGGGUUAUGCCGGGGACUCUAAGGGGACUGCCGGUGUCAAACCGGAGGAAGGUGGAGAUGACGUCAAGUCCUCAUGGCCUUUAUGCCCAGGGCCACACACGUGCUACAAUGGCGUCCACAAAGCGAACCGAGAGCGCAAGCUGGAGGAAAUCGCACAAAUGACGCCCCAGUUCAGAUUGGAGGCUGCAACUCGCCUCCAUGAAGUUGGAAUCGCUAGUAAUCGCGGAUCAGCUACGCCGCGGUGAAUGUGUUCCUGAGCCUUGCACACACCGCCCGU
rnacentral:rRNA from 1 species